ensembl:lncRNA
GCCUUUCACAGUGCCGUUCAGCGUCCUGAAUGUCAGAUGGCUGGGUGUGUGGAGCUGUUGUCCCACCCAGGUCAGAAGCGUGGCCUCCGUGAUCAGUGUGGCAGAACUAAAUACCCGUGGCAGUUGCAAUACAGCAUUACACAGGAGUGGCGAUUGAUUCCAACAAGCAACCAGGAUGGAGAGCUAUGGAAAGAGACAUUUUUAUUCAGUGUGCGGAAACCAAGGUGAAGGGACAAUAAUGGGUCCAGGCUCUUUCACAAGCCCUCCUAGCUCCUGGGAAUCCCAGCUCCUUCCUGCCUCACACUUGUCGUCCUAGAAGUCUCCGUGUGAACAUCCCUUCCUAGGAAGCCUUUCCUGCCCCGUUAUUACUUUCCAAACUCGCCUUCCUUCCCUCAAGCCACUUCCCACAAUUGUACCCAAACUGCAACCUGUGUGAUCGGACUGUUUACCUUCCUGCUGGGCUGGGGAGGCCCUGUGGGCAGGGAGCUCCCUGCCUAUUCACCACCAAACCACCAGAGCUG